rnacentral:rRNA from 1 species
AACGAACGCUGGCGGCGUGCCUAAGACAUGCAAGUCGUGCGGGAAAGGCUCCUUCGGGAGUACUCGAGCGGCGCACGGGUGAGUAACACGUGGGUAAUCUACCUGAGGGUCUGGGAUAACUCCGGGAAACUGGGGCUAAUACCGGAUGAGACCACGGCGUCCUCGGACGCAGCGGUCAAAGAUGGCCCCUCCUUGGAAGCUAUCGCCUACAGAUGAGCCCGCGUCCCAUUAGCUAGUGGCGGGGUAACGGCCCACCAAGGCGACGAUGGGUAGCUGGUCUGAGAGGAUGAUCAGCCACACUGGAACUGAGACACGGUCCAGACUCCUACGGGAGGCAGCAGUCGGGAAUUUUGGGCAAUGGGCGAAAGCCUGACCCAGCAACGCCGCGUGAGGGAUGAAGGCCU